GCCAUUGUGGUGUAAUGGUUUACGCAUUGGACUAUGACUCUGGAAACCAGGGUUCAAAUCCUGGCUUGGCC